GAAGAAAGAAGCUUUCACUCCAGGCAGGAGGAACAGUGUGAGGCCCUGAGCAAGAAAGGGUAACAAACCAGCCAACAAAUGGGAGGUUUUUCCUGAGUGCAGGAUGAGAAAGAACUGCCAGGAAAGCUGCAGAACAAAGGUCUGAAAACAUAAGAGAAGCCAGGAAAAUGCAAGUCCUUCCUCCUGACCCUAGAAAAUCUCUGCUGCCAAGGCUGGGACUCUGCUGCCAACUUCAGGCCUGGGAAAACCAAGACUCCAGGAGCUCUACCUCUAGGAUUCUUCCAAACAUCUCACCAUGUCCUCUGAUACCUCUGUAGUCAUCUGCCACAACCUACUUCUGAAUAAAUCCUA
rnacentral:lncRNA from 1 species